CGAAAGCCUGACGGAGCAAGACCGCGUGAGGGAGGAAGGCUCUUGGGUUGUAAACCUCUUUUCUCAGGGAAGAAGAAAGUGACGGUACCUGAGGAAUCAGCCUCGGCUAACUCCGUGCCAGCAGCCGCGGUAAUACGGAGGAGGCAAGCGUUAUCCGGAAUUAUUGGGCGUAAAGCGUCCGCAGGUGGCUGCUCAAGUCUGCUGUCAAAGGGUGGGGCUCAACCCCAAGAAGGCAGUGGAAACUGAGAAGCUAGAGUGCCGUAGGGGUAGAGGGAAUUCCCGGUGUAGCGGUGAAAUGCGUAGAGAUCGGGAAGAACAUCGGUGGCGAAAGCGCUCUACUGGACGGCAACUGACACUCAGGGACGAAAGCUAGGGGAGCG
rnacentral:rRNA from 1 species